UGUGAAAUUUUCCAAGAACUUCUUGGUAAUAGACCUGUACAUUUUGAAUUGAAUUGAAAUUAUUUGUCAUUCAAAAAUGAAUGAAAAGAAAUGAAUAGAUAUAGAUGAAUAUAUAGAAUAGAUAGAAAA